rnacentral:rRNA from 1 species
GACGAACGCUGGCGGCGUGCCUAAUACAUGCAAGUAGAACGCUGAAGGAGGAGCUUGCUUCUCUGGAUGAGUUGCGAACGGGUGAGUAACGCGUAGGUAACCUGCCUGGUAGCGGGGGAUAACUAUUGGAAACGAUAGCUAAUACCGCAUAAUAGCAGUUAUUGCAUGAUAACUGUUUGAAAGGUGCAAUUGCACCACUACCAGAUGGACCUGCGUUGUAUUAGCUAGUUGGUGGGGUAACGGCUCACCAAGGCGACGAUACAUAGCCGACCUGAGAGGGUGAUCGGCCACACUGGGACUGAGACACGGCCUAGACUCCUACGGGAGGCAGCAGUAGGGAAUCUUCGGCAAUGGACGGAAGUCUGACCGAGCAACGCCGCGUGAGUGAAGAAGGUUUUCGGAUCGUAAAGCUCUGUUGUAAGAGAAGAACGAGUGUGAGAGUGGAAAGUUCACACUGUGACGGUAUCUUACCAGAAAGGGACGGCUAACUACGUG